UACGUAGGGGGCUAGCGUUGUCCGGAAUCAUUGGGCGUAAAGGGCGCGUAGGUGGCCUGGCAAGCGUGCGGUGAAAGCUCGGGGCUCAACCCCGAGUCGGCCGUGCGAACUGCUAUGGCUCGAGCACUGUAGAGGCAGGCGGAAUUCCGGGUGUAGCGGUGGAAUGCGUAGAGAUCCGGAAGAACACCGGUGGCGAAGGCGGCCUGCUGGGCAGUAGCUGACACUGAGGCGCGACAGCGUGGGGAGCAAACAGG
rnacentral:rRNA from 1 species